GUCUUCGGCCACACCACCCUGAACGCGCCGGAUCUCAUCUGAUCUCGGAGCCUCCGCAGGGUCGGGCCCUUUAGUGCUUGGAUUGAAGACCCCCCAGAAUCCCGGGCGCUGCAGGCC
rnacentral:rRNA from 1 species